rnacentral:lncRNA from 10 species
AGGAAAUACAGGAGAGAUCAAAAGAGAUCACCGGAAUUCCCAUUUUCUCAAGAAAACCAAUGUUAAUAUUUUGGUGUUUUUUCUUCCCAUCUUUUUCUUUCUGUUUUGUAACAUACUUGGGAUCAUAACGUAUAUUCAGUUUGUGUCCUGCUUUCUUUCAUUUAGCACAGAAGUACUUUCUUAAUAAAAAGAUCUAGCUAGUAUCCAUCAGAUGUAUUUAUCAUAAUUUAUCCCCUCCUCGUAGAUAUCUAGACUUUGACCAGUGUUGAUUUUGUUCAUCUGCACAGACUCCCAAAAAAGCUCCUAGCUGAAAACCUGGCUCAAAACAGAAACCACCUGUAAGGACUUGCUCGUGAAAAAUCUACGCAGCAGUUCCCUCCAGGAAAACCAGGCGGACGAGCAGCCUGUGCCUGGAAGUAGGCGGGGCCCCUCCUGGGUCUGCGUCUGCAGACACAGACCAGGGAGCGAUUUCUCAGCGCCUGUGGUAGCUGCUGCGGUGGGAAGCACACGGCAGACCCUGAGCAGGCUGGCCAGUGAGCCAGCCUCUUUCUGACGGGACCCACAGCUCGAAUGUUGGCUGGAUUUGCCUGGGCCAAAAUAAGCGGAAGAGUGGCAGAGUGCUUGGGGAUCACUUCCAAUCACACCAUUCAGAAGGAGAAGCAGUGCACCUCUAGGACAGAUGCCUUCAAACGAAGAGGCUGGCUGCUCCCCGAGAAGGAGGGCCAGGCGGGGUGGUACCAAGCAGUGCCGCUAGAGAAACAUCAUUCAGCAGCCUCCUGGAACACAUGGGAGCCCGGUGGCUGAAAUGUCCUUUCCUCCCAGAGUUAGAAUACAUAAUGUUAGUUAACUCCACAAAUUAGUGCAGUGGCCAUGACAGUCGAGGCCCCCAGUCCCCAGUCCCCUAGGCUUAUACAACAGACGCCGGUUGUCCCAUCCUUUGCUCAAUCCUAUUUAAGACGAGGAUUGUGCACUCCUGGCUGGAGUCCAGGAGGGUGGGAGCCACUGGGUGGUAGUGGAGCGGCCCUGUCUCCAGGCCAGACUCUCCUGCUCCUGGCCCUCUUGACGCUCACAGAGUGGCCUCUGUGGCUGCCGAGCCCUGUGCUGCAGCAUAAAUCCUCAGCUUUUGUCUGUGUUUAAUCCCACCCUGAGAAGUGAUAUCCAAGUGCAACUGUUUCCAGCCAGGAGCGCAGCUCCCAGGCCCUGCUGCUGCCUACCCAAGACAAACAGAUGUAACAAGGAAUUUCUAGCACAGUGCUGGUCCUCUGUGUUAAUAAAUGGCCGACCAGGAGUACUGGGUAAUGCAAGCUGGGAACUCCCCAUCACACACAGACACUGGAGCCGGCUCUGACACAUGGGGCAGAGACUCGGCCUUUGGUUCCCUGAGGACUGAAUUUACACACCCUCUUAGUUGCCACCCAACUGUUUCUAGCUAAAGCUAUUUUUGAAGUAUCCUGAAGGAAAGCACACAAGACUCUAGCCUCUCCCUGCCUGUCCUGGGUUUCCAAGGUCAGGAUAUGGUGGAAAGACCUGUUCAAGGGACAUGGCAUGGAGGGAGCUGUCACAGUUACAGAGAAGGGAGCCCCCUUUUUGGUCAAAGGCAAGUAUUGUGAAAGGUUACUUUUCUAGAAAGGCACAAACAUCAACCCAAGCCCCUAAUAAAGCGGGGCCCAGUAAACUGUGCAGAUAACUGAAGCACUAAAGAGAGAAAAAGACAUCUAGUCAUUUGUAAUACAGCUUUGGUGCAUGAUAUAUAACAUUUUGUACAUUAAAAGGUUUUUGGCGAUUUCUCUUUAAAGCAGACCACAAAGUAGACAAGAGAUUGGUUAUUAUGGAACACUUGUGUGUUAAACGCGAUUUCCAUCUCUGCGGCACCCAAUUCCAGAAACGUUAACUGGACAAUCCUCAGGGGAUGGUGGAUCAUCUGCAUCUGUUUCCAGACGUGCAUGAAGGAUCUCCUUCGUACACCUACACAACCCAUGCGAUUUCCCUUGAACCAUGACUAACCAGCUGUCUGGACGACAUCCAGGGCGAGUCACAAGAGGCUUGGGAAUCCUGGGAGGCUGUUUUCAGAUUAUGGAAAUGCAAAUCAAAUCCUCCCUGAUACGACUUCACACCCACUAGGACGGCUAUAGAAUCAAAAAGAUGGACAAUAACAAGUGCUGGUGAGGACAUGGAGCAACUGGAACCCUUGCACACUAACAGGUGAGACUGUAAGAUGGUGCGGCCAUUUUAGAAUACAGUCUGGCACUUCCUCAUUAUAUGAAUGAAACACAGCAUUACCAUAUGACCCAGAAAUUCCAUUCCUAUAGGUAUACAUCCAGCCUGUGUGCAAAAACUUGUACAUGAAUGUUUAAGGCUGCAUUAUUCCUAAUAGCCAAAAUGUGGAAACAACUCAAAUGUCCAUCAACUGAUGAAUGGACAGACAAAAUGGAAUGUGUCCGUACAAUGGUGAAGGGGCUUGGCAGACGAGCAGCCCCAUUUAGCCCUAAAAAGGCGUGAAGGACUGAUGCGUGCCGCAACACAGAUGUACUUUUCAUAAAAUGUCCAGAUAAAAUAAAAAUAAAUAAAUAAUACAAAGUCAAUAAAUACAUAAAAUAUCCAGAUAAAAUGCUUGACACUAUAUAAUUAAUAAUAAGAAAUAAACUAAAAAAAAGUACACCAUAACUUCAGUUUUUGAAAGUCUUUAUUGCUAUCUUUCCUUCCUCCCUCCUCCUCCUUCUUCCUUCAUGAUGUUCAUCUGAUAUUAAAGGUAGUUAUUUCAAGGUGGUAGAACCUGAGAAUCUUUGUUUUUCUACAUUACUUAUAUUUUUUUAUGAUCAACAUAUAUUACUUUCCCCCAGAAAAUCAGUAAUUUCCUAAAAACAGAAAAAAAAGGUAGAAAAACAAAAAAAACCCCAAGGCAAUGAUACAUCACGGGGACCCCCUUAAGCAACACACACUAGACACCCUUCUAGCCAGGCUUGUAUUUUCGCUUGACUGCCUCACAGAAGUCCCCUCCUUUAAACAUGCUGGAAGCUGAUAAAAUCUGAAAGCGUCCCUACAUCUGAACCCAGCUGUCAGCUUCCAACAUUUUCCAUUUCUUCUUACUGGAACUAUCUUAUUCACCGCACUAGGUAUUUUGUUCUGUUGUGUUGUGGGGCAGGAUGAGUAGGAAAAGGGGAAGGUUUUUCCCUUCUUUCAUUUCACGUGCAAUAAUUCAAUGUGUUCUUCUCUCUCUCUCUCUCUCUCUACAUAUAUAUAUAGUGCUUUUUCUGCCCUCAGGCCAUCUAAACUUCCUGCAACUGCUCAGCAUUGUCAUAAACAUUUGUAUUCCCCUGACAUCCAGACAAGCAAGAGCCUUUCCUAAACGCGGUGAGGUCCCUGUAGUUGACAGCCUCACUCGAGGUGGGUAAACAGAGCUUUUAUUAGUCCCGUCUCCAGUUCCACAGCACCCAGCCCGGUGCGUGCACUAUGGUGCCUCAUAAUUAUCCCAAAGCAGCCACUUUCCCCAAGCCUCCCUUUGUAACCUGCCACUACUGUCGGUGCAGAUAAACGUUACAUGCAAAAGGCACCAUUAAAAUAACAUUAAACUUCUGGCUGAAGCAUUGACAGCUGCGAUCACUGAAGCUGAGAUGAGGCAGCCACCUUGGUGUUCUUGAUCUUUCUGGUUAUGUGUUUUUUUUGUUUUUGUUUUUGUUUUUUGAGACGGAGUCUCGCUCUGUCACUCAGGCUGGAGUGCAGUGGCACAAUGAUCUCAGCUCACUGCAACCUCCACCUCCCUAAUUGAAGUGAUUCUCCUGUAUCAGCCUCCCAAGUAGCUGGGAUUACAGGUGCCCGCUGCCACACUCAGCUAAUUUCUGUAUUUUUAGUAGAGACGGGGUUUUGCCAUGUUGACCAGGCUGGUCUCAAACUCCUGACCUCGUGAUCCACCCGCCUCAGCCUACCAAAGUGCUGGGAUUACAGGCGUGAGCCACUGUGCCCGGCCCUCUGGGUAUGUAUUUGUAAGAAUCUUCUGAAUUCCACGAGUCUGUCAACUGCCUAGCACUUAGGCAGAGGUAUAGACAGACAAAAGGCUGCUUAGGAUGAUGCUAUUUUUCUGAGUUUUCACACACCGGGCAUGUCUGUAACAUUUUAUCUACAAAGUGCAGAGUCUGACUUCACCCUCCUUGUUGAGGACAGACUCUCUGAGGGCAACCAUGCAGCAGGGACAAGGGAGCCCUGGGACUGGCUGGGAGGCGGUGUGGGGGCGGGACAAGAGCCCCAGCAGGCUGAGAGCUGAGCUGAGGCUGCCUUGGGCACGAGGGAAAGUUCUCAGGUGUAAAAGGGCUACAGGAGACAUGUCAGGCGGAGAUGUUCAGGGCAAGACCAGACAAUAACUAUUUCCCCAGGUUAGCGGUGAUGACGAGAAGCAAACUGCCUGCAUUGCACAUAUUGGCUUCAUACGCUUGCUAAAUAAAAUGUUUCUACCUUUCAGCAUUAAAAACACCACUACUGGCAUUUAAUACUUCCAUGAUGAAAGUCACUCAGUGAUGGCAUUUGGGUGUCACAGAAAACAUUUCUUGGGACAGUAGCACAGUCAGAAGCUGUCGGGAGUGUGGACAUACCUGUUUAGCUGCUGAUGAAGAAAUUGUUCUGCUGUCCAGCAGGUCAAGAAGCUCAGCGAGUGCAGAGGGUGUGACAGGACUGGUGGCCCCCAAAAGAGAAAACACAUUUACAUUGCACACUGUCAGGGCAUCCAUGAAUGGCUGUUCGGAAUCAGAACACUUGCUCUAGUGGGGGUAAAUAUCGGACCCACGCCUAGGGAUGAAAACAGCAGGCCAACUGGGCUCUCUUUUAUUUUACUUAUUUAUUUUAUAUCUUAGGAUAUAACAAAUUUUUGUGACUAGUGUUCUUUCUUUCACCACCCAACAAUAACAGCUGUUUGGCAGAAGUUGUAGCAACAGACAACUGCUCAGUGUAAUUAGUCAAGAAAAGGAGGUGGCUGCAAAAUUCAUGAACCACAACAGGAAAGGGAAAACAAACUCCAGUAAUUAAAUAUUUUCAACGGAAAGAUCAGCCUAAAAAUUACUUAAAAAAAAAAAAAACCAGCUAACAAAGUCACGUUUCUGAGUGUUUCUGUGCAAAUAUAAAUUCCUUUAAAUUGCAAGAGAUUUUCUGCAAGGGAACACAAUGACUACCAGCCACAUUUUCAUCCAUCCUCAGGAACCUGAUACAUAACUCUCUUCUCCAGGCUCACACAGCUUUCUGGACACAGAAGGGCCUAGAAUCCACUAUACCUAUAUUUCUAGGAUGUGACUUAUUUGCCAAUAUCCCAUGAAAGAAAAGGUCAGGGGCAUCCAAGCAUAGUGAAACAGCGAAGUGUCAUUAAUUCACUUGAAGGUGAAUUAAUGGUAGGGGUGAGUGCCUAAAUUAUGGAAAAGACAACAGUGAAUUACAAACUAUUUCUUUUAAAAUGCACGGUUUUCUGACUUCUAAAUACAGGUUGAGUUACCUCAUCUGAAAUGCUUGGGACCAGAAGUGUUUCCAAUUUUGGAUAUUUUUGGAUUUUGGAAUAUUUGCAUUAUACUUACCAGUUUAGCAUCCCUAAUCCGAAAGUCUGAAAUCUGAAAUGCUCCAGUGAGCAUUUCCUUUGCACAUCAUCGUCAAUGCUCAAAAAGUUUUAGAUUUUGAAGCAUUUUGGAUUUCCAGGUUAGGGAUACUCAACCUGUAUUUAUAGCAACUAGGCUCAUGAGAUGCUGCCUAUCUGAGAUCAUUUGGGGACUGGUUUUAAAAAGGUAGGAAUGACAUCAAUAGCACAUUAGUGUUACACUGUGUAAAUGAGGGCUUCUGAAAUGCUUCAUGCCACUUGAAAACAUCUUCUAUUUAAGUCUUGGUUCCCAUCAUGCAAAAUUAAUUUCUUUGGAUGUGCUUAGAAAAUACAAAGGAAACUACAGCUUAGUCCCUAUGCCGAUUUCCCGGGCUCUAAACCAAUGGAGUGUGUGUUAACCAACUGACUUACUGUACUCUAAUUCAAGUGCAGUGAAACCCUAUUGGGGCUGUCCACUUAAAACAGCUGAUGUACUGAGGCAGCCCAUCAUCCUGUAAGUGUCUGUUUAUCCCAAAGUAUGACUAAAAGGCAAUUCCAAGUGAAACUUAGGUUUGGAGAAUAUCUGGUGUUACUAAAUUGGUAUUCAGAACAUCUGUGAACCACCCUGAUUAAACCUCAAAAGGAAGAGGGGCAGCGGGCGGCUAAACAAACUAAAAAAACCUACCUUUACUAACAAGUAAAAGGCAGGCCGGAUUUUUCUAAAAGCGUGGGUUGCCUGGAUGUUCUGCAAUCCUAGAAAAUACCAUGGCCCAUUAUCUUAGAAUGCAGACUGUGUGCAGAACCCAUAAGAAGCACUGAGGUGGAACUGGAUUUCUUGAGCGUGCAAAAGAUAAGGUCCCUAGGCCCAUACAAGUCGAUGAUUGCCUUGGUCUGUUUGGGCUGCUCUAACAGGUUAGUACCAAAGACGACAUGGCUUAUAAACCAUGGAAACUUUAUUUCUGCUCUGGAGGCUGGGAAGUCCAAGAUAAAGGCGCUGGCAGAUUCCAUGUCUAGUGAGGGUCCACUUUCUCACUGGUGGCACCUUCUUGCUGUGUCUGCAUGUGGUGGAAGGAGCGAGGGAGCUCUCAGAAGUUUCUCUGAUGAGGGUGCUAAUCCCAUUCAUAAAAGCCCCUCCCUCAUGACCUAAUCGCCCACCAAAGGUCCCAUUUCCUCACACCAUCACCUUAGGGGUCAGGAUUUCAACACAGGAAUUUGGGGGAGGAUCCCAACAUUCAGAUCGCCGCAAUGACAUAAAAGACGUAGGGGUGGAGAGGGACAGAAAAGGAACACAAAAUAACUAAAAAUAACGUCGCCUUUGAGAAGUUCAUCUAAGGACCUUAAUUCAUCAGUUGGGUCAUAAAUUUAGACUACAAAAUCUUUCCACUGACGUAAUCACACUUGGGAUUUCUCCAUCACUUUUCUGUCCCUACGAUGCCUGUCACACAGUAGGUCAUCAUAUUUGUGUCACAGGCUUCCUCACACCCAUAGGGAUGUCUGGCAGACUGCACAUGUUAAUUCCACAUAUGCCAGGGCUAAACUUGAGUCAGACGAUGACAAAGAUCAGUACCUGUCACACAGACCCCGAAAGACCCCACUCAUCGCCUAAAUAAAUAAACCCUCAGACUCGACACGCAAUGGCAGCAGCAGCACAGGCUACUAAUUUGCUGUUGUCAGGUAAUACUGGUUUCUGGAUAGUGAAUGCGUCUCCGCUGAAGAAGAAACUGACACCGCGGCCUUCAGCUCUGUGUGCUGCUCUCUUCCCUCCCAUUCUCUGAGGCCGCGGUUCGACAGAGGAGGGGAAAGGGGCUCUUUCAAAGCUCCAAAAUUUGUCCAGUCCCUCAGAGCUCAUUCAGGAUCACAGCUCCAUCUCCUGCUUGGAUGAGAGCAGACAACGCUGAUGCUUCUACAACCACCCCCGACCCCCCGUGAACCAUGCUGUCUGUCCCAAUCCCCCAGCUUAUCUCAGGCCCAAAGUCCACCUUCUCUGCUUCUGUUAAAACAGGAUGCAAGAAGAAGGAAGACAUUGGGACUUGGGCCUCCAGGUGGUACCUGCUGCGCACAGGAUUCUGUGUUCAUCUCACGGAUUUCGCAGUGCCCCUAGCUGGCGUCCCACCAAGCGCCUGUUCCAGGCAGCCCCCUUCUGCUCCCCUCCUCUGCACAUGCCCUCACCUCCCAUUUCACAAGGACAUCAGCUGAGCCACGGUUGAGAACUUUCUAGGGCACUCUCCUCCUCCUCUUCCAUCAAACAACCCCUCCACCCCUGCUCAGAACCCCACUCUUUCCACUCCUCCGAACCAAAGAUGCUGGUUUCCCGUGUCCUGUGGCUUGAAUCUCACAGCUUCACAAAUGCUCCGAUCUUCCCUGUCUUGACAAUGCCUUUGGCUGACCUUGCAGUCACUUGCGUCUGCCCAGUUUCUUGCUUUAACAAUAACGAUCUAGCACCAGUGGCUACUACCUACCCUGUGUAAGCACAUGCCAUCUGGAUUCUGUGCCUACCCCUCUAUAGAAGCUCUUCUCUUAAAAAUCAACCCCCUUGCUUGUGGCCAAACAUUCAGCUUCUCCCCAUCCCGCUGCACCCUGACUCCUGGGGCUGCACCGUAAGCUCCUUGUGAAACCUCCUUCUUGGGCCUCCGGAAUGUCCUCCUCUUCCUUGCCUGUCCCUCUGCUGCUCCUUGCCAGUUCAUGCCAGGUGGCUCCGGUGUCCUCUUGCUGGGUCCUCUGACUUGACCCCUAGCCGUGAGGAGGAUGCCCAGGGCUGCCGCUGCUGCCUCAGGUCCUGUUUCUCUCCCUGGUUGAUGUCAACCACCUCCUGAGAGGCCCCGUUCACACCUAGACAAUGUGCUCUAAACCAGGAUGGCAAACUUCUGGAAAGAGCUAGGGUGCGCAUAUUUGAGGCUUGGUGAGUGCCCUCUGUCACAUAUGCUUCUUUGUUUUAACAAAGGUAAAAGCAAUUCUUAGUCACAGGCUCUACAGAAACAGGCCAGAGGCUGACAUGCUAUAGUUUCCCAAUCCUUAUCCUAAGCCAAACUUGUCUUCCUCACAGACCAGCUCCUCUGCAUUUCCCACCACCCAUCUUCUGUCUCAAAUGAUGACAACACCACGCUUCUAGGUAUCAGAGUGCAAAUUAUCAUGUUGUCUUUGCUUUAUUCAUCACCUACUCCCUGAAAAAUCUAGUACCUUAUUACCAGAUCCUAGUGAUCCUUCCAAACAUGAAAUACGGCCAUCCUGCCUUUUGCAUUCCCAACACCACCACUUCUGACUUGCUGUGGGUCUGGCCACAGUGAGCUCAACAGGUUUCCAAUGCCUGCAGCCCAUCCUUGGAUGCUAUCCUACAUUUCAUGCUGUGGGACACAUCUUCCUCUCACCUCCAGUCCCUUCUUGGUUUCAAAUCCUUCCCUGCUCCAGUGCUCAGAAAUUGUUGCCCACAGCUCACCUGAAACACUGGGGCACUCAACUGGCUUGGACAGCUGGAUAGCUGUACCUGCCUAAUUUUACCACAAAAUGCUUGCUCAGGAAAUCUACAAUGUCUACUUUCUUAACUAAACCAAAUCUGUUACUCAUAAUUCAGAAGCUGUCAACCAAAUAAACCAACCUUUCAAGCAAUAUACUCAAUUAAAAAGCCAAGUUCAACAAGAGGUUGGACCCUUCAAACAUCAGUCUUCUGAGAGGUCUUUAAAGAUGAAUGCUAAUUCACGUAAUCAUUCUCUACCAAUUUGAUCUCCAGAGUGUUCCUUGCCUGGGUAUCAUUGUGAGACUAUAGCUAGUUUUGCAGCUACUGCCCUUCUAAGCUCUGGAAACAUUAGCACUCAUAGCUGAGGCUGUUCAUUAAUUAAUGUUUGCUCUAUGGGUAGCCUAGUAUAUCAGUCCAGCUAAACGUUCUUUGAACUGUGUAGGAAAAGAGCUGCUAUGGUUUGGUUUUGGCUUCUCAGUCCUUGUUCCAUUUAAACUGUAAAACACAACUGUUGCCUGCUUCCUCUUUACUUGAUUUUGGAACAACCAAGCCUACCUUUAUUUAGAAUUGGGUACCCUUCAGGUUCUUAAAACUUUACUGCUUAUAAACUGCUUGGGUAAAUACCAGGGGCUCCAGGUCCACUCAACAGGCUAAUUUAUCUCUCAGCUCCUUUAGAGGCCACCAAAAUGACUGUUAAACCCCUAACUUCACAGACCAACAUAUACAGAAGCCGAUCACAAGCCAGGCGACUUGGCUUCCAGUCUUUGUGGCUGUGCCAUCUGAGGCAAGUCACCUUAUCUCCUAGGGCCUCCGUCACCUCGUCUGCUAAAUGAAAGAGCUGAAGAUCCCUAAGUUCUCUUCCAGGACUAAAGUUCAGCAAUUCCGUACAUUUUAACCAACAACAUAGAAAAACUAAGUUUAAAGCUAAGAAAUUUCUAUUUCCUCCAGAAGCGCAAACACCUCAUCUUCUUGGAGCUUUCCUGGACUCUUCUGGCUGGUGUGAAUCUCCCUCCUCUCUGUUCCCACUGCACUGUGUCUAGUUCUAACACUGGAAGCAUCCCAUUCUGCCUUGAAUUAAAAUUCUGAUGCACAAGUUCUAGUCCUCCCCAGGAGGCUGACAGCACCUGUGGGGUAGAACCGGGUCCUGGUCAUCCCCCACACACUGCAGAGUGGGGCUCUGCACCUGAUGGGUUCAUGGCUGAAUCCCCCUGACGUUCCAGAGGCUCCCUAUUCCGGCUCAGCUCUGGCUCUGCACACAGCCACACCUCUUGGCCUCUUUCCACCCUCUGCUCCUGCCAGCUACGCUCCUCUCCUUCCCAAUCAUUCCAGUUCUUUGCUGUUCCUGCACCUGGGCUCCAGGUAGGCACUGCCCUCUCCCUCACCAAAUCCUGUUGAGCCUUGAAGACUCUGGUAGAGCUGUAUCCCAUCCAUAAACUCUUCAGCACGGCUCCUGCCUCCACAGAACAGCCACACAUUUUCAGCACCAACACCAGAAUUUCUGAAUGGAGAGGCCAAACCCGGGAGGACAGGGAUGAAAGAC